rnacentral:rRNA from 1 species
UACAGAGGUCUCAGCGUUGUUCGGAUUCAUUAGGGCGUAAAGGGUGGCUAGGCGGCGCGGUAAGAUCGGGUGUGGAAAUCUCGGAGCCUUAACUCCGAAACUGCAUUCGGAAUACUGCCUGUGCUUGAGGACUGGAGAGGAGACGUGGAAUUUACGGUGUAGCGGUGAAAUGGCGUAGAUAUCGUAAGGAAGACCAGUGGGCCGAAAGGCGGGUCUCUGGUACGUGACUGAACACUGGAGGCACGAAGGCCAGGGGACGCAAACGGG